GACAGAGGAUGCAAGCGUUAUCCGGAAUGAUUGGGCGUAAAGCGUCUAUAGGUGGCUUUUCAAGUCCGCCGUCAAAUCCUAGGGCUCAACCCUAGACAGGCGGUGGAAACUACCAAGCUAGAGUACAGUAGGGGCAGAGGGAAUUUCCGGUGGAGCGGUGAAAUGCAUUGAGAUCGGAAAGAAACACCAAUGGCGAAAGCACUCUGCUGGGCCAACACUGACACUGAGAGACGAAAGCUAGGGGAGCAAAUGGG
rnacentral:rRNA from 1 species